CUUUUUUGUAUUUGUAUUGAUCUGACAUUGUAAAGACCCUGUAAACAGUAUUAAGCAUGCAUGUGAGGAAAUGCAUUCUGAGCCAUCUUUGGCUGUCAGAGAGAAGAGGAGGAGGCUCGUCAGAGGCUCCUGGAAGAGCAGCAGAGGCUGGAGAGAGAGCAGCGAUUCCAGAGAGAAGAGACUGAGCGGCAGGAGAGGAAGAAGGUAUGAUUACUAUGAGCGAAGUACAGUGUGCUGAAUGUAGGUCAGCCAGGAAAAAGGAAGGGGGGGGGGGGGUUAACUUCAGUGGUAUCCCAUCUAUCACAUAAAAUAUAACCCACUGUAUAACACAUUACAUUCAUCUCCACAGCGACUAGAAGAAAUUAUGAAAAGGACAAGGAAAACAGACGCUGCUGAGAAGAAACCAGCUUCACCCAGUAUCAUAAUGAAAGACAGCCUGCCAAAUGAGAACAUGAAGCCCAUUCACAGUCUGCCAUUAGAAGAAGUUAUCAAGCUGCCUGGUCCAGUGAAGGCCUCUAAGAUGACUUUAGGCAAUGAGGAGGACAUCCUUCCUGCAGUGGCCUUCAAAGAGCGCAGGUCUCUCCGCACACUUACAGGCCUGGAAGAGAUCCAAGCUCAUCAGCGAGCAGAAGUCAUCUAAAGAUAAAGAUAAAAGAUCACAAGAUCUGCAAGGAACCUGCAAGCCUGUACUUUCUUUAUGGAAGAACACAGAUGCAGAAUAGCUUCACCUGCACUUUAAGGAAUCCUCUACGACCCAUUUCACACAUAUGAAGUAAGACAGAAGUGUCUGGCCCCCGAGGCUGUGCUGCCUCGGUAUGUUUUGAGGCCGUGCCGCAUGUUCAGUUCAUGCUCUGUGGGAAUGUGGUAAGGCACAUUUCAAACUAAUGGCUUCACAAUGUUUUACAGUGCAAUGACCUUCACCUAAAGCCUGAAUAUGCCAUAGGUGUAGAUUUACCAUGUGAUGUUUGAGGUGUCGUGUUCAGAAAUGGUAACUGUUUUAUUUAUAAUCAAUAUAGGACUUAAUGAACAGACGUGUUACUCACAAAACAAUCACGAGACAUUUUUCCAAUAUCAGUAUUAAAAGGGAAUUUUAUUGAUUUUUCAAAAGUUCUACGUGAUUUAGUGGUUGAGAGGUAAACAAAGUCAUUCAGAGAUGCUCGAUGUGAAGUGGUUCACUGUAGAGAAACUAACCAACCAGGGGUCACAGUGUCUACAACACAAAUAUAGUCAUUUUAUUUGUUGUCCAAAAAUGAUCAGACGACUUACAAGUGUCCUCUGAGUUUUUGUAUGUAAAAAAUAUGGUAAAAUAGUGAUGAAUCUGAAAACAUAAGGUUUCUUGGGAGACUGUUAAAAACCUUGUAAAAAUCCCUGCAUGUUCUCCUACACUCUGAAUCUAAUGCAUUAAAAAGAAUACAUUUUGGGCCAAAACCUCAAGAUCUCACAAUUUUCAUUAUGCAAUGUUUCAGGCUUCAGACCAUGUAUCUGUUGCCAUUUAAGGUAACAACUGUCUAUGAGGUUUGGCAUUAAAUGCUUUAUAUGUCUGGUUCCUAUCACCACCACUGUAAACAAUUCUGACUCAGUAAGUUUCUCUAGAAUGGAACAUUUCACCCCAAACCUUUCUGAAUGAUUUUGUUUAAUGCAGACAUUUUGAGAAACUGGUGGAAUUCCCCUUUAAUAUAUAGGGCUCUACUUUGCAACGCAGCUACUUUGUCUUGUAUUGGUAUGAAACUGAAGUACUAUUGCAUCAGUUGUUCUUGCUGAGCUGUGCUUCUAAAGCCUGCUGCUGGGUCAGACGAUCCGAACUCAGCCACUUUCUCAGUUUCCUCCGACUUUCUUCAGUUUUGCAUUGCUGCUAUUUAGCUAUUCCAAAAUGAGACGUACUGUCCUGUUUUUUAUUUACCAAACCUUAAGCAUUUAGAAACUGUACUAUCCACCCUUUUUCUGAGGGUACUAGUACAAUCCUCAGCGAGUAUGUGCAAUUAUCUAAACUUAUGCAUAAAUAACACCAAGAAUAUGGAGUGUAGAUGUACACAAUCUAAUUAAAUAUUUUAUCGGUGUAAAUAAACACGCUUUGAAAGCAAACUGUGAGUGUAUUGGAAAAUUUCUGCUUCUCUAACUGUAAGUUAGACUCAUUUGACGUCUGUGGAGAACACUGUGAAAAAUGAUGUCUUUGCAAGUGAAAACUUAAAUCUAAGAUCAUUUAACUCCUUUCUUGACAUGUGCACUUGUUUUAAGUCAUUUUAUUCAUUUUAUUCAGUCAUAUUGUCUUAGUAUUGGUAGAUAGUUGACCUGGUUUGAUGGACUGAUGCUUGAAACAUGCCAAAUUAUCUGCC
ensembl:lncRNA